AACGCGAAGAACCUUACCUGGGCUCGAAAUGUUGUGGACCGGGGUAGAAAUAUCCCUUCCCCGCAAGGGGCCGCAAUAUAGGUGCUGCAUGGCUGUCGUCAGCUCGUGUCGUGAGAUGUUGGGUUAAGUCCCGCAACGAGCGCAACCCUUAUCUUCAGUUGCUACCAUUUAGUUGAGCACUCUGACGAAACCGCCUCGGAUAACGGGGAGGAAGGUGGGGAUGACGUCAAGUCCUCAUGGCCUUUAUGUCCAGGGCUACACACGUGCUACAAUGGCCGGUACAAACCGUCGCAAACCCGCGAGGGGGAGCUAAUCGGAAAAAGCCGUCCUCAGUUCGGAUCGCAGUCUGCAACUCGACUGCGUGAAGCUGGAAUCGCUAGUAAUCGCGGAUCAGAACGCCGCGGUGAAUACGUUCCCGGGCCUUGUACACACCGCAUAC
rnacentral:rRNA from 1 species